ensembl:snRNA U6 U6 spliceosomal RNA
GUGCUUGAUUCAGCAGCACAUAUAUUUAAAUUGGAAUGAUACAGAGAAGAUUAGUAUAGCCCCUGUACAAAGAUGACACAUGAAUCCAUGAAGCAUUCCAUAUUUUU